rnacentral:sRNA from 1 species
UCAACCUGGGCGGGGUUUAUAAAAUGAAUAUGUGUAUCUACAGCUCCUGCAGUAAGAAUCUUACCUUCACCCGAAAUGACUUCUGUAGCUGUUCCUAAGAUAAUAUCAACAUUAUCCUGUACUAAUGGAUUUCCUGCUUUUCCUAUGCCAGAUAUUUUACCAUCCCUAAUACCUACAUCGGCUUUAAAAAUGCCGGUAUAGUCUAAUAUAAGCGCAUUGGUUAUGACUACAUCUGGCACGCGAUCGUCUUCUGCCCUGGUAAUAAACGGGUGUUGUCCCAUGCCAUCACGA